rnacentral:rRNA from 1 species
UCCGUAGGGUGCAAGCGUUGUUCGGAAUCAUUGGGCGUAAAGCGCGUGUAGGCGGUUAGUUAAGUCGGGUGUGAAAUCCCUGGGCUCAACCGAGGAAGUGCAUCCGAAACUAACUAGCUGGAAGAUGGUAGAGGAAGGUGGAAUUCCAAGUGUAGAGGUGAAAUUCGUAGAUAUUGGGAAGAACACCGGUGGCGAAGGCGGCGACCUGGUCCGAUACUGACGCUGAGGCGCGAAAGCGUGGGGAGCAAACAGG